CCUACGGGAGGCAGCAGUGGGGAAUAUUGGGCAAUGGAGGAAACUCUGACCCAGCAACGCCGCGUGAAUGAUGAAGGUCUUCGGAUUGUAAAGUUCUUUUCUAAGGGAAGAAGAAAGUGACGGUACCUUAGGAAUAAGCCUCGGCUAACUACGUGCCAGCAGCCGCGGUAAUACGUAGGAGGCGAGCGUUAGCCGGAAUGACUGGGCUGAAAGGGUGCGUAGGUGGUUUGGCAAGUUAGUAGCGUAACUCCUGGGCUCAACCUUGGAACUACUACUAAAACUGUUGGACUUGAGUGCAGGAGAGGCAGACGGAAUGCCUAGUGUAGCGGUGGAAUGCGUAGAUAUUAGGAGGAACACCAGUGGCGAAGGCGGGUUGCUAGACUGUAACUGACACUGAGGCACGAAAGCGUGGGGAGCAAACAGGAUUAGAUACCCUUGUAGUC
rnacentral:rRNA from 1 species